GGUAAGUAUGGACCAGAUCAGAACACAACAGAUUCGACUCGCGAGAGAGAGGCGGUUUGCACAUCAAGAAUGAAGCACACGGAAGCAGGAUCUAUAUUUCAAAGGUCGAUCACAUGGGUGGCUCGCCAGUCCGCACGCCGCUGUAGCUCUCCAGGGAAGGCAAGCAGGGGCGGACGAAUCCAGGAUCCAGCACAGCAGUUCAAAUCCAACAAAAAAACAAAAAC